CUAGGAAUCUGCCUGGUAGUGGGGGAUAACGUUCGGAAACGGACGCUAAUACCGCAUACGUCCUACGGGAGAAAGCAGGGGACCUUCGGGCCUUGCGCUAUCAGAUGAGCCUAGGUCGGAUUAGCUAGUUGGUGGGGUAAUGGCUCACCAAGGCGACGAUCCGUAACUGGUCUGAGAGGAUGAUCAGUCACACUGGAACUGAGACACGGUCCAGACUCCUACGGGAGGCAGCAGUGGGGAAUAUUGGACAAUGGGCGAAAGCCUGAUCCAGCCAUGCGGGCGUGUGUGAAGAAGGUCUUCGGAUUGUAAAGCACUUUAAGUUGGGAGGAAGGGUUGUAGAUUAAUACUCUGCAAUUUUGACGUUACCGACAGAAUAAGCACCGGCUAACUCUGUGCCAGCAGCCGCGGUAAUACAGAGGGUGCAAGCGUUAAUCGGAAUUACUGGGCGUAAAGCGCGCGUAGGUGGUUUGUUAAGUUGGAUGUGAAAUCCCCGGGCUCAACCUGGGAACUGCAUUCAAAACUGACUGACUAGAGUAUGGUAGAGGGUGGUGGAAUUUCCUGUGUAGCGGUGAAAUGCGUAGAUAUAGGAAGGAACACCAGUGGCGAAGGCGACCACCUGGACUAAUACUGACACUGAGGUGCGAAAGCGUGGGGAGCAAACAGGAUUA
rnacentral:rRNA from 1 species